ACACUGGCCUAGUUGAUCCACAACAGUGAGCAGCAAAACAUUAGCAUCGCUACACGGAUGCUCAGCGAGCGCACUAAUAAUAGGCUGUGUAAAAAUAUCUGAGUUCAUCCUAGAAUGACGAGGUUUAACGUGUUUGUGUGUCGUUUUGAUGACUAAAGCCUUUGUUACCGGGAGAGAGCGGUAAACUCCGUUCAUGGAUCGCGGCGGUGUGAGCCCUGCAACGGGGCGAGAUAGAGCCUGAGGACCGAGCCGCUCGCCUGCUGCCGAGUGUCCAGGUGAAAGUGGCAGAGAGGAGGGGACAAGGGAGGCAGGUGUCCCGCGCGAGACGCUAGAGUGUCCGGCUUCGACUCGUAUCACAGUUACUUUCACUUGAAUGCAGGAUCAUCUUCCACACAAGAGGACAACCUGGACACCCCCACACCUAACAGCGGGCCCAGUCCUUCCCCGACCGGGAGCGGUGGGAACGUUCCCCUGUGCAGCCGGCCAUGACAGGCCCAUGUCGGGCCGGGCCUCGGCUCCUCCACUCCACGGAGCAAGUGAUUGACAGGUCUCACCGGGGGAGGUGGGACUCCUUAUCUGCCAUUCAGAACAGCUGGCUGUGGGAUGAAGACGCCACACGAAGCGAUAGUUUGAGAGCAUCACACCGACACGGUCGCUGACCUCCGCCGAGCGACACUUGGCGCUCCCAGAGGAGCAGAGGAGUGCCGGACAAUCCCUGAGAGUUAAUCAUUACUGCGAGACCACUGUGAAGGCAGCCUGACCCCUCAAAGCAUCGCACAGCAAGGCACGGGGCAACUCACAGAAGGCCUGAUAAAUGACAGCCCUCGCAACACACCUUCAAAGUAUUCCCGUACAAAGACUUAGCGGGAAUGAGUGGGAAUCUGGACCAGAUUUUUUUGGUUUAGUUUUUAACAUCGAUGGAAAGAAAUGUACACUAAAUGCUUCAAGUUACCUAAAACCGGGACGUUUUUCGAUGUCUGAUUUGGUCAAAUUUCAAAACUAUGUUUACAAUAGGAAAUGAGAGGUAAGAAAUAUAAAAUGAGUCCAAUCUGUUCUAAAUCAAACUGGGAUGGGCAUAAAACCCUUUAUUAACUGCAGAGGUAACUUGAAGUAAGAGUUCAACAUUGUUAUCUCAUAUAAGAAGAUGUGGCAAAGUUAAGUUUGACUUAAGUCAAAGUACAGAUGAUUUAGAAGUAUGAAGAACAACGAUCCAAUCCAAACAAUGUGACAAUACCGUGAAUCCAUUGUCCUCAAACCUUUGAGCUGUGUAUUCCUGUAAAUAAAAAGUUUUGGUUUUUUUA